GAUGAAGAACGUAGUGAAAUGCGAUAAGUAAUGUGAAUUGCAGAAUUCAGUGAAUCAUCGAAUCUUUGAACGCACCUUGCACCCUUUGGCAUUCCGAAGGGUAUGCUCGUUUGAGUGUCAUUGUACUCUCACACUCUCCGAUCCUAUGGAUUCGGGGAGCGGUGGACUUGGGUGUUGCUGCCUUUCCUUGUGGCUCACCUCAAAUGUGUCAGUGCACCUCUUGGUUGGACAUAGUACGGCGUGAUAAGUGUCUUCGCCGGCACCUCGCAAGAGGGUGGCCGAUCGGGAGCUCUGUGCUUUCAAACCGUCUUCGGACAAUUUCUGACAACUUGACCUCAAAUCGAGUAGGACUACCCGCUGAACUUAAGCAUAUCAAUAAGCGGAGGA
rnacentral:misc_RNA from 1 species